rnacentral:rRNA from 1 species
GGAAAUAUUUCAUUGAGACUUCGGUGGAUUUGAUUUAUUUCUAGUGGCGGACGGGUGAGUAACGCGUGGGUAACCUGCCUUAUACAGGGGGAUAACAGUCAGAAAUGGCUGCUAAUACCGCAUAAGCGCACAGGGCUGCAUGGCUCAGUGUGAAAAACUCCGGUGGUAUAAGAUGGACCCGCGUUGGAUUAGCUGGUUGGUGGGGUAACGGCCCACCAAGGCGACGAUCCAUAGCCGGCCUGAGAGGGUGAACGGCCACAUUGGGACUGAGACACGGCCCAGACUCCUACGGGAGGCAGCAGUGGGGAAUAUUGCACAAUGGGGGAAACCCUGAUGCAGCGACGCCGCGUGAAGGAAGAAGUAUCUCGGUAUGUAAACUUCUAUCAGCAGGGAAGAAAAUGACGGUACCUGACUAAGAAGCCCCGGCUAACUACGUGCCAGCAGCCGCGGUAAUACGUAGGGGGCAAGCGUUAUCCGGAUUUACUGGGUGUAAAGGGAGCGUAGACGGAUGGACAAGUCUGAUGUGAAAGGCUGGGGCUCAACCCCGGGACUGCAUUGGAAACUGCCCGUCUUGAGUGCCGGAGAGGUAAGCGGAAUUCCUAGUGUAGCGGUGAAAUGCGUAGAUAUUAGGAGGAACACCAGUGGCGAAGGCGGCUUACUGGACGGUAACUGACGUUGAGGCUCGAAAGCGUGGGGAGCAAACAGG